rnacentral:rRNA from 1 species
GACGAACCGUGCGAACGUUGUUCGGAAUCACUGGGCUUAAAGGGCGCGUAGGCGGGCCUUCAAGUCCGGGGUGAAAUCCUCCAGCCUAACUGGAGAAGAGCCUCGGAGACUGAGGGCCUCGAGGAGGGUAGGGGCGUGCGGAACUCUGGGUGGAGCGGUGAAAUGCAUUGAUAUCCAGAGGAACUCCGGUGGCGAAGGCGGCACGCUGGACCCUUUCUGACGCUGAGGCGCGAAAGCCAGGGGAGCAAACGGG